GGGGUUGUGGCUCAGCGGUAGGGCGCUCAGACCUCACAUGUGUGCGGCUCUGGGUUCGAUCCUCAGCACCACA
rnacentral:tRNA from 1 species